rnacentral:rRNA from 1 species
CUUCCGCAUUCAACACAUGCAUAUGCCCCUGUCCGUGGAGGUUACUGUGAACAAAACAGCGUGUCCAAAGCAACCACGUGUCUGGCUGAAUGAUCUAGCAUGGAAUAACAAGGCAUCGACCACUGGAGUCAGCCUUUUUGUUGGUUUUACAUGACCCAGUUGGGCAAUGCAGGGCUUGUGCUUCAUUGAGGUUCUUAGUCAGCUCUACCGAACUGUCUUCCCUCAGUUGGUCCUUGUUCCCUAUCGGGAUCAAUGGAAGCCAUCGGGGUGGUAUGUAUUCCGACGUGAGCGGUGAAAUGCUUAGACCGUUGGAAGACAAACGACAGCGAAGGCAUUCCGCCAGAAUGUUUUCAUUAAUCAAGAACGAGAGUGUGGGGAUCGAAGAUGAUCAGAUACCAUCGUAGUCCAUUACCGUAAACUAUGCCAACUCGGCAUUGGGAGUCUGUUCACUUUGAAGACUCUCCCAGCAUCAUCCCCCAAUAACGAGAAAUCCAAGUCUAUGGGUUCAGGGGGGAGUACAGUCGCAAGGCUGAAACUUAAAGGAAUUGACGGAAUGACACCACAAGGCGUGGAGUAUGCGGCUUAAUUUGACCCAACACGGGGAAGCUUACCAGGUCAGACACAGUAAGGAUUGACAGAUUGAGAGCUCUUUCUUGAUCCUAUGGAUGGUGGUGCAUGGCCGUUUCUGGUUCGUGGAGUGAUCUGUCUGCUUAAUUGCGAUAACGAACGAGAUCUCUACCUCUAAAUAGGCGCCGGUCCCGCAUGUAAGUAGGGAUGUGUUGGGGGCCUUCGUGUCCCCUCAUGUCCUGAGAGUGCCGGGAUCGCUUCUUAGACGGACUGUGCAUGUCUUUAAUGCACGGAAGAGGGAGUCAAUAGCAGGUCUGUGAUGCUCCUAGAUGUCCUGGGCUGCACGCGCACUACACUGGCACAGUAAACGAGUUGCACCUGCUUCGGCAGUCCUGCUUAGAAGUGAGCGUGGGAAAUCUUAGAAAACUGUGCCGUGCUGGGGAUAGAUGAUUGCGAUUAUUUGUCUUGAACGAGGAAUGCCUAGUAGAGGUACUUCAUCAGAGUACCUUGAUUGUGUCCCUGCCAUUUGUACACACCGCCCGUCGUUGCUACCGAUUGGCUGUAAAAUAGAGGCCUUAAGAGUCGCUUCCGCAAAGCUUUGCUUUUGAGGUUGUGACAAAUCUGGCCAAUAUUUCAUUGCUAGAGGAAGCAAAAGUCGUAACAAGG